rnacentral:rRNA from 1 species
GAGCGUUAAUCGGAAUUACUGGGCGUAAAGAGUGCGUAGGCGGUCCCUCAAGUCCGCUGUGAAAGCCCCGGGCUUAACCUGGGAAUGGCAGUGGAAACUAUGGGACUUGAAUCUGGCAGAGGGGGGUGGAAUGCCACGUGUAGCAGUGAAAUGCGUAGAGAUGUGGCGGAACACCGAUGGCGAAGGCAGCCCCCUGGGCUGAGAUUGACGCUCAGGCACGAAAGCGUGGGGAGCAAACAGG